rnacentral:rRNA from 1 species
CCUACGGGUGGCAGCAGUGGGGGAUAUUGCACAAUGGGGAAACCCUGAUGCAGCGACGCCGCGAGUGGGAAGACGGUCCUCUGGAUUGUACACCACUGUCCCCAGGGACGAAGAUGACGGUACCUGGGGAUGAAGCUCCGGCUAACUACGUGACGGCAGCCGCGGUAAUACGUGGGGAGCGAGCGUUGUCCGGAAUUACUGGGUUUAAAGGGGGCGUAGGCGGGGUUGCAGGUUGGGUGUAAAAACUACAGGCUCAACUGGUCGUCGCACUCAAAACUGCAGCUCUUGAGUGAAGUAGAGGCAGGCGGAAUUCCUAGGGUAGCGGUGAAAUGCGUAGAUAUUAGGAGGAACACCAGUGGCGAAGGCGGCCUGCUGGGCUUUUACUGACGCUGAGGCUCGAAAGUGUGGGGAGCAAACAGGAUUAGAUACCCCUGUAGUC